UGGGGAAUAUUGGACAAUGGGGGCAACCCUGAUCCAGCCAUGCCGCGUGUGUGAAGAAGGCCUUUUGGUUGUAAAGCACUUUAAGCAGUGAAGAAGACUCCAUGGUUAAUACCCAUGGACGAUGACAUUAGCUGCAGAAUAAGCACCGGCUAACUCUGUGCCAGCAGCCGCGGUAAUACAGAGGGUGCAAGCGUUAAUCGGAAUUACUGGGCGUAAAGCGAGCGUAGGUGGCUUGAGAAGUCAGAUGUGAAAGCCCCGGGCUUAACCUGGGAACGGCAUCUGAUACUGUUAGGCUAGAGUAGGUGAGAGGAAGGUAGAAUUCCAGGUGUAGCGGUGAAAUGCGUAGAGAUCUGGAGGAAUACCGAUGGCGAAGGCAGCCUUCUGGCAUCAUACUGACACUGAGGUUCGAAAGCGUGGGUAGCAAACA
rnacentral:rRNA from 1 species